rnacentral:rRNA from 1 species
GACGAACGCUGGCGGCGUGCCUAAUACAUGCAAGUCGAGCGCAGGAAGUCGUCUGAACCCUUCGGGGGGACGACGGCGGAAUGAGCGGCGGACGGGUGAGUAACACGUAAAGAACCUGCCCAUAGGUCUGGGAUAACCACGAGAAAUCGGGGCUAAUACCGGAUGUGUCAUCGGACCGCAUGGUCCGCUGAUGAAAGGCGCUCCGGCGUCGCCCAUGGAUGGCUUUGCGGUGCAUUAGCUAGUUGGUGGGGUAACGGCCCACCAAGGCGACGGUGCAUAGCCGACCUGAGAGGGUGAGCGGCCAGACUGGGACUGAGACACGGCCCAGACUCCUACGGGAGGCAGCAGUAGGGAAUCUUCCACAAUGGACGAAAGGCUGAUGGAGCAACGCCGCGUGAACGAUGAAGGCUUUCGGGUCGUAAAGUUCUGUUGUAAGGGAAGAACAAGUGCCGCAGGAAAUGGCGGCACCUUGACGGUACCUUGCGAGAAAGCCACGGCUAACUACGUGCCAGCAGCCGCCGUAA